rnacentral:rRNA from 1 species
UACGGGGGGAGCAAGCGUUGUUCGGAUUUACUGGGCGUAAAGGGCGCGUAGGCGGUCGUGACAAGUCACUUGUGAAAUCUCCGGGCUUAACUCGGAAAGGUCAAGUGAUACUGUCGGACUAGAGUACAGAAGGGGCAACUGGAAUUCUCGGUGUAGCGGUGAAAUGCGUAGAUAUCGAGAGGAACACCUGCGGCGAAGGCGGGUUGCUGGGCUGAUACUGACGCUGAGACGCGAAAGCGUGGGGAGCGAACAGG